UGCAUCUGAUCCUCAAUAAAUUUUGAUACAAGUUGGCAAUUCCAAAACUGGGCUAAGCGUGGAGAAAAGUUAUGGGCCUUAAAUUUACAAUCUCAUCAUCAACUGGGGUUUCAAAAUGUCCAUUCAAAAACCCUAGCCUUUUUUUUUUUUUAUCUAGACAUGCAGUUUGUCUUUGUUCUAUGUUCGAGUGUCUUCCAGAAAGGGAUGAUUUUUCAGAUAUGGGGUUCUAAAAAAAUUGAAACUUGUUUUGUUUUUUAUCUAUCUUUCAUUGCCUCGUUUUUUAGUUGUCCUAAUUCUUGGCAGAAUACUCAAGCUUAUGUAGCUGCUGUAAAUAUGGACAAAUAUCAAUAUGCAGGCUUUAAAGUGGGCAAGCCAUUAGUACAUGGACUCCCAUAAAGAACCUACAUUACAUUACAGGUUUCUAUAAAACAAUAGGUUUGCAUGAGUUCUGAUUUAUGUUCAUUAUAGCAAGUUGAGUUUUUCUUUUUAUCUUUUCUAUGAUGAACAAACUAUAAUGCUUCUAACACUACUGUUUUAUUUUUCGAUCCCCUUUGGGUCCAUUGUUUGAUCCUCUUUUUGUGUUUUCUUAUAAACUUAAUGUUUCUGUUUCUGUUUGUAAUAGGCUGGGGGGUUUUUUGGUUUGAAGUUCAUAAGGAUGUUUGGUAUGAAUACGAACAACUGUUGAGCUUAUGCAAGUAGUUUUUCUCUUCUUUAGAUGAUGAUCCAGAGGAAUCAUGUUUGUGAACUUGACAUGUGAAACUAUAGACAGAUUUUUAGCUUAUUUUGCAUUUAUAUCUUGUUAAGGUUAUAGAUAGUGAGUUCCAAUUCCCAAUAGAUUUGGUUAAUCUUGUAUUUUGAUAUGAUUUGCCCAUUUUUGAACAUUCAUUUGCCAUCUGAUAUUUCUUCAAUGAAAGGCAUCUUAGACAUUGCUUCUUGGUUGUUCUAAUUAAUUGUCAACUAGUAAUACAGAUUUUGGAAUAUUGUGGUUCUUCUGUAAGAAUGAAUGAAUGAAUGGAUUAUGGUUGGAUAUAUUUCUGAAACUAUUAUAUUUCAACUUUUGUCAACUCCUACUUCAGUUUCGCUCAGUUGUUGAUUAGUUCAGAGGUAGUUGGUUAGAUAGUCAUGACUCCUUCCUCAAGUUACGAAGAUGGAAAAGGGCAUUCAACCACGGGCUAAGAUGCUGUUGCUAUUUAUGAUGCAUGUUACGAAUUCAAGGUGGAGCAGCUGCCUGAUUCACAAGUCUUUCCUUCAUUCCAGUCUUGGACAAACUCCUAUGAUUCCUUUCCCAAUGUCUAUAUUCUCCUAAUAGAAUCAAUUGGUUUAUCUUUAUAUUAAUAGAUGGUUAGAAAUUACAGCUUAUGUUUGUUCAUCACUUUAUCUUUAGCUCCAAGCUCAACUCCUAACUCAUUGUUCUGAGAUAACAGGGUCAAUCUGCUGCCCUUGGAGAUAAAAGAUCCUGGAAUACAAUUCAUGACUGGACUAAAAUGGUUUCGAAUAAUAGUGAUUCAAGGCUGUAGGAUAAGAAGCAAUGAAGCAAAGGAUCAAAUUUUAUCUAGCCUAGGGUUGAUUCACUCCUUCCUCUGAAUUUCUCGAUUAGUGGUAUGGAAGGGGGCAUUUGAUCAUGGGGAAAGAUUUUGAUACUCUGUGUUAUGCAAGUUAUGGAAAAUACUAUUAUAUGACGCUUAACCCAAAGCCGAUCGGGUUUGGGGUGUCUCCUUCCUUCAAAAGGUCCAUUCAAGUGCCUUAACUUUUUAUCUUUACAUGCAUUACCCUUUGUGUACUGAAACUAUUCUAUGCUCAACUUGUUCCAAAAAGGGGUGAUUUUCAGAUAUGGGGAUUGAAACUUGUUUGUUACCUAUCUCCCUCAUUGUUUUCUUGAAUGUAUAAUAUAUGUGUUUUUAGUUGUCCUAAUUCUUGGCAGAGCACUCAAGUCUGUGUAGCUGCUGUAAACAUGGACAAAUAUCGAUAUGCAGGCUUUAGGUGGGUGAGCCAUUAGUACAGUGACACCCAUAAAGAACCUGCAUUACAUUACAUUACAGGUUUCAAUUAGUUCAUAAAACAAUGACUUGCUAUAUAUAGUCCAUUCCCCAAACACUUUUUUCACAGUAUUUUGCUCAUUUGCCUUGUAAAUUCAUAUAACAUAUUCUUAUCUCUAAGUCUUUUGGAAUGAAGGAGACCUUAGCUAGAAUAAUAUCUCAUUUCAUGUGCUAUGGUCUGGGUUUCAUCGUACAUCACGACUGUUGUUGUUUUCCAUUGUACGGUAUAUUGAACAAAAUGCUCUAAAGGCUUCAAUUUUGGAAUUUAUUUGAUCACGUUGUUUAUCUCGAUGGAAUGGCAGGCGUAGCCGACGAUGCCUCCUGAAAAAGAUGUCCCGCCCACAUCAUGCAGGCUGUGUCGUUGAAGCAAGUAGAGAGUUAUAUGUUUGUGGUGAAUUUGGGUCAUUGCGCUGUUUGUUAUCCCAUGUUUGUAUGUGGUGGUUGAGCAUUUGGGGCCAUAUGUUGGUGUUCAAUCACUUUGGAAACUCGUAGGGUCGUAGUUUAUCUCAUUUGUAUCUAUGGAAAAGUCCAAUUGAUAUGGUUUUUUAAUCUUAGGGAGAUUAACAAAUCAAAAAUAAAUUGAAUUUAUUAUGGUA